ACAUUUAAAAAUUUAGCUAGGUCUAGUGUCUCUACUUCUAGUUCUAGCGUCUUCGAAGACAUUUUAAAUUUUAACGUUAUAAAAUUUACAAAAUCCAAAUUAAAUUUUUUAAUUCCAAAUUGUCAAAGUUUUAACAUAGUUUUAAAUACUGUUUAGUUCUAGUGUCCUAUAAGCUAGUUCUAGUGUCUCCUUAAUUUAAAAGUUAAAAAAGAAAUGUUUGUUCUAUUGUCUUCGAUAACACUAUGAGUGUUAAAUGUUAAAUUUCAACAUGGGUUGCACUGAGCCAGCUCAGGCGCGGGUGAGCCCGUCGGCGGCACGGUAUUUAAGCGAUCCAAGCGGCUGAUGGCCGCAACUCGUCCUUAGCGUCAGACGACUGUUUUGAAAAUAGCUCACCCCCGCCUGAGCUAGCCCACCUCUUCGUUUGAACUGUCAGGUGCUUUAAUUAUUCGUUUACCAAGUGCUUUCUAUUUACCUUUUUUAAAGUGUGAUUGUGAUGGAGAACUCUGACUGUGAAAAAAGUGAUGAAGGUGAUUAUCUUCAAGUGAAACAAACGAAAGUGUUUUUGGCAAUUUAAAAAAAGCCCUCUUGGGAUUGGCGAUGGAUUGAGUGAAUCAGCAAGAAAACGUCGGACAUUAGCAUUUAAAAAAGAGUCUUGAUAUUUCUUGUUUGUACAGGCUGAAAAGUUCUGCGAGAAGUUCAAGCUAGAAAUACUGCUUGGAAUUCAUUCCCCUACAGCUGUUAGAAAAAGCUGGCAUUUUGAUGGCUAUGGAUGAAGCAAUUUGCUAAUGAGACUGAUAUUGGAAAGAAGAUCAAGACCGACUUACAACUAUUAUCAACAGUUGGUUGGUAGAUGACAAGAUAAACUUGCAAGAAGCGGUUACUGCAUCCAGUGACAUUACUGGACCGUUUAUCAGCGCUGUAGGAGAGGAAGCAAUAAUUGUUGCUCAGCAGUGUGGUGCCAGUAGGCAACAAGAGUUGGAAGCAUCAAAGAAAAAAAAAGGAGGAGAACCGAAUCAAAAGGAUGGGCCAUGCUUAUGGUCGCAAAAAAAUAAGUCAAAAGACAACAAACUCAAGUUCAGGAUCUUUCGCCGUAUCCCCUUCACCUUCGAAAUCUAUUUCUUCUGGCAGCAGCUUGGUGGCGACAAGCACUUCUCCCUUUAAAGCUUCCCUGUGCAACACCAUUGAAGACACACAAGGUGUAAAACGGAAGAUAUUUGAUCGAACGGAAUCUGACAUCCAGGAUGUGGUAGUAAUCUCCGACCUUGACGAAGCUUAUUCUGAGGUCUCAAAUGAGUUACCGCCAACUCCUCCACCUAGUAGAUUAUCUUCCCUACUGGCAGCUCCGACUGUCGCUAUUGGAAAGCGCACUGUAACUGCCCCAGAUCCAGCGACUGGCAGGAAGACUUUCUCGGCGUCCUCGGAUGAAAAUGUCGCUGCGUCAGCUGCCCUGACACCUCCGGCUUUCGCCGUUAGAAUGAGGACAGCAACUGCAAGUGGCUUAGUUCCUGAUGCCUAGCAGGAAGACUAUCACGUCGUCUUCGGAUGACGUCGCUAUUUUGGCUCCCCUGACAGCUCAUAAAGAAAAAAAUCCCCGUUUGUUUUAUAAUUGUAAUGAUUUUGUUUGUACAGCAUUGUAUUAUGGCUACUUCUUCUCUCAAUUUCCUAAGAAAAUAAAGAAUUCGGAAUAAA